CCGGCCAGUAGUCAUAUGCUUGUCUCAAAGAUUAAGCCAUGCAAGUCUGAGUAUAAUUGUUUUACGGUGAAACUGCGAAUGGCUCAUUAAAUCAGUUAUAGUUUAUUUGAUGCUAUAGACCGCAAGGUCACUACAUGGAUAUCUGUAGUAACAUAGAGCUAAUACAUGCAAUAUAGUCUGACUUUUUGGAAGGACUAGCACUUAUUAGAUAUUAAACCAGUCCCAGCAAUGGGUUUUUUGGUGAUUCAUAGUAACUGAACAAAUCACAUGGUCUUGUACCGGUGAUGUUUCAUUUCAAAUUUUCUGCCCUAUCAACUAGAUGGUAGUAUAUAGGACUACCAUUGGUUGUAACGGGUAACGGAGGAUUUAGGGUUUGAUUCCGGAGAAGGAGCAUGGAGAACGGCUACUAUUUCUAAGGAAAG
rnacentral:rRNA from 1 species